ACGAAAUAGUGAUAUGGAGCAAAACCCUAAAAAGUAAGUCUCAGUUCGGAUUGAAGGCUGAAAUUCGCCUUCAUGAAGCUGGAAUUGCUAGUAAUGGCAGGUCAGCAUACUGCCGUGAAUACGUUCCCGGGCCUUGUACACACCGCCCGUCACACCAUGAGAGUUGGGAAUACCCGAAGCCUGUGAGCCAACUUUUAAAGAGGCAACAGUCGAAGGUAGAAUCAAUGAUUGGGGUGAAGUCGUAACAAGGUAGC
rnacentral:rRNA from 1 species